CGAAGGUGCGAGCGUUGUUCGGAAUGACUGGGCGUAAAGGGUUCGUAGGCGGGAAGACAAGUUCAGUGUGAAAUCCCCAGGCUCAACCUGGGACGUGCCCUGAAAACUGUUUUCUUUGAGUGUUGGAGAGGGUGGUGGAAUUGCUGGUGUAGGAGUGACAUCCGUAGAGAUCAGCAGGAACACCGGAGGCGAAGGCGACCACCUGGCCACACACUGACGCUGAGGAACGAAAGCGUGGGAGCAAACAGGAUU
rnacentral:rRNA from 1 species